AAGUCGUAACAAGGUUUCCGUAGGUGAACCUGCGGAAGGAUCAUUCUUGUAUACCUGGUCGAGCGUAAGCUAGGCCAAACCAUGUGUGAAUCAGUGUUCUCUUCCCAGCGGAAGGUCUUGCGACCCUGGGCUUAUGCCUGGGCGAACUUGAGUCAAGUUAAGUAGCAGGGAACUCAAAAGUAACAAAUUACAACUUUUAACGAUGGAUCUCUUGGCUCUCACACCGAUG
rnacentral:misc_RNA from 1 species